rnacentral:rRNA from 1 species
GACAGAGGGUGCAAACGUUGUUCGGAAUUACUGGGCGUAAAGCGCGUGUAGGCGGUUCGGAAAGUCGGGUGUGAAAGCCCUGGGCUCAACCCAGGAAGUGCACUCGAUACUGCGUAGCUUGAGUACCGGAGAGGUUGGUGGAAUUCUCGGUGUAGAGGUGAAAUUCGUAGAUAUUCGGAAGAACACCAGUGGCGAAGGCGACUUACUGGACACAUAUUGACGCUGAGGUGCGAAAGCGUGGGGAGCAAACAGG